UAAUCCACCUUUACUAUAGUACCGUAAACUUCAGUUAAUUCUUACAGUAGUUUUGUGAUUAAAUCGCUCACUAACUUGCUAUUUUCGAUCUUCCAGGACUAUUUCACCAUUGGGUUUACACAACCACCUCUGGAUCCACAUCAAGACUGGGUAUUGACUCACUCCAGCGAAGAAAACGGGAAAACAACUUUGGCGUUUUAUCGCCAGCGAAACACAGCAGAUCAGCAAAACGACGUUGCUAUCGAGCAAGGAGUUCCAAUUUUCCUUAUCUAUGCUUACCAUUUUACCAGUGACGUAGAGCCGCUAGGCCGCUUUCCAAUACACACUUUUAGAGGGCUUCGUUCUGGCGUAAUACUAAUUCCGGCUAUUGAAGUUACCGCGGCGUCAACACUCUUGCCCAGAUCUUCUUCUACCGCAGUUAAUGCAAGGACAACGCCUCUAACAGUGACUACACAACCACCCUUCACUGCAUGUGGUGGAACGUUAAGCGGAUCAUCAGGAUCAUUUGCCUCUCCUGGAUAUCCUGGGUUUUACUCCAACAACUUGAACUGUUUAUGGACUUUGCCUA